ensembl:lncRNA
CUAUGAAAUGCGGCAGUUCAGGGACUAUUUUAACUGAAAUAUUUAGUGUAUGAACUUUUGCAGAUGUCACAGCUUUUGUGUCACAUCUCAAUCACGGUUCUUUUGUAGGUGGUUAUGGAGGAGGCUCUGGUGGUGGUUAUGGAGGAGGCUCUGGUGGGCGGAGGUUUUAGAUUCCAGGCACAUGCAAACUCAUCCCCAUUGUCCUAACCAAGCAGUCUUAGCUGACCUGAAGGCCACAGUACUUAGAGGAGAGCCAGAGAGAGAUGACAGGGAAAGGAGAGAAGCAAGCAGGUUUACACCUAGAUCUGCCCAGCCAAGCAGUGUGGUGGCGAUAUUAACGUCUGCCAUACGAAGAGAACUUGUUCAAUAG